rnacentral:rRNA from 1 species
AAAUUGAAGAGUUUGAUCAUGGCUCAGAUUGAACGCUGGCGGCAGGCCUAACACAUGCAAGUCGAACGGUAACAGGAAGCAGCUUGCUGAUUCGCUGACGAGUGGCGGACGGGUGAGUAAUGUCUGGGAAACUGCCUGAUGGAGGGGGAUAACUACUGGAAACGGUAGCUAAUACCGCAUAAUGUCGCAAGACCAAAGAGGGGGACCUUCGGGCCUCUUGCCAUCGGAUGUGCCCAGAUGGGAUUAGCUAGUAGGUGGGGUAACGGCUCACCUAGGCGACGAUCCCUAGCUGGUCUGAGAGGAUGACCAGCCACACUGGAACUGAGACACGGUCCA